rnacentral:rRNA from 1 species
UACAGAGGGGGCAAGCGUUGUUCGGAAUUACUGGGCGUAAAGGGCGCGUAGGCGGCCCGCUAAGUCGCACGUGAAAUCCCCGGGCUCAACCCGGGAACUGCGUCCGAUACUGGUGGGCUUGAAUCCGGGAGAGGGAUGCGGAAUUCCAGGUGUAGCGGUGAAAUGCGUAGAUAUCUGGAGGAACACCGGUGGCGAAGGCGGCAUCCUGGACCGGUAUUGACGCUGAGGCGCGAAAGCCAGGGGAGCAAACGGG